rnacentral:rRNA from 1 species
UGCCAGCAGCCGCGGUAAUACGGAGGGUGCGAGCGUUAAUCGGAAUUACUGGGCGUAAAGCGCGCGUAGGUGGUUUCGUAAGUCGGAUGUGAAAGCCCAGGGCUUAACCUUGGAAUUGCAUUCGAUACUGCAGAACUAGAGUAUGGUAGAGGGAAGUGGAAUUUCCGGUGUAGCGGUGAAAUGCGUAGAUAUCGGAAGGAACACCAGUGGCGAAGGCGACUUCCUGGGCCAAUACUGACACUGAGGUGCGAAAGCGUGGGGAGCAAACAGGAUUAGAUA